GGUCAGUUGAACCGGCGGGUUUGGGCGGGCGGGCCAAAAGACGGCCCGUGCCCCCCUCUAGCACUAAUCGGGUAAGGAGACAAGUAAAAAUGCAAUAGAAUUUUCUGAUGUUUGGAAUUUUUUUUAUAAAGAAAGGGGUGGGUCAAGAUGGCAUACAAAUAGCAGAAUGCAAGGGAUGUAAGAAAGAAUACAAAUGUGGUGGUAAAAAGUAUGAGACUUCUUCAUUGAGGUGCCACAAGGAUAAUUGCAAAAUGAUUAAAUUAAAUAAUGUAGGACAAAUGUUUUUUGAUCAUGAAGGGAAAAUAAGGUCAAAGAAAGUAGAUCAAAAAAUUGCACGUGACUUAUUAGUUGUUGCAGUUAUAAAACAUGAUUUACCAUUUUCAUUUAUUGAAUAUGAUGGCAUUAGAGCUUGGAUAAAAUAUGUAAAUCCCGAUGGUGCUUGCAUUUCUAUAAAUACCCUUGUUUAUGAUAUUACAAGAAUAUAUAUGAGAGAAAAAGGAAUUCAGAAGCAUGUUUUGGGUAAUAUUCAGAAUAGAGUUUGCUUAAUUUCAGAUGUGUGGACUGCAUGCAUUAGUGAGGGUUGCAUUUGUUUGACAGGAUAUUGUUGAUAAAAAUUAGAAAUUGAACAGUAAAAUUCUUAACUUUGCUAAAUUGCCUAAUCCACACUCGGGAGUUGAAUUGGUUGUAAAGUUAUUUGCAUUUUUGAAAGAAUGGGAAUUGAGAAAAAAGUGUUUUCUUUGACAUUGGAUAAUGCAUCUAGCAAUGACAAUAUGCAAGAUAUUUUUUUAAAAAAACAACUGUCUUUGCAUGAUAGUUUGUUAUGUGGUGGUGAAUUUUUUCAUAUUCGUUGUUUAGCUCACAUUUUGAAUCUCAUUGUGCAAGAAGGUUUGAAAGUAGCUCAUGAUGCUUUGCAAAAAAUCAGAGAAUUUGUCAAAUAUGUGAAGGGUUCAGAAAGUAGAAUGAAAAAAAUUUGAAAAAUGUGUGGGCGCAGUUGGCAACAUCGACACCAGUAUUGACAUGCAAUUAGAUGUAUACACCCGUUGGAAUUUGACAUAUUUGAUGUUGGAUAGUGUCAUUAAAUAUAAAAGGGCGUUCGAUUCUCUUCAAGUGAAUGAUAGAAAUUAUAAGUAUUGUCCUUCAAAUGAAGAAUGGAAAAUAGGAGAGAAAAUAAAUGAGUUCUUGGAGCCAUGCAUUUUAUGACACUACCAACUUGAUAUCGGGAUCUUCUUAUCCUACGUCAAACUUGUAUUUUAUACAAGUUUGGAAGACUGAAGUUUUAUUAAAAGAAAACUUGUCAACUGAAGAUGUGGUGAUUAGUGAUAUGUGUAGAAGGUUGAAAGAAUAUUUUGAUAAAAAUUGGAGACAAUAUAGCAUGGUACUUGCAUUUGGGGCUAUCCUUGACCCACUAAUUAAAUUAUCAAUGUUGGAAUAUUUUAAUGGAAAGGUUGAGAGUGAUUCUACUAAAUGCCAAGAUAAUGUAUCCCUUGUGAGAAAACAAAAUUAUACACACUUUUUUAGCAUUAUUCAAAUGCUAAUAAGUCAAGUCCUUCACAACCACAAUCUUCUUCUAUCAUUACACCUACAUCUACACAAGGUGGUGGAGGAAUAAAAAGUAAGGGCAAAAGAAUUUUUUAUGAAAUUAAAGCAUUUGAGAGCCAAUCAAUUAAUAGUGCGGGGAAAUCUCAAUUGGAUCUUUAUUUGGAGGAGCUAAAGCUUGAAUUUGCAUAUUAUGAAGAUUUGAAUGUAUUGAAGUAUUGGAAGAAUCAUAAGCAUAGGUUCCCUAAUUCUUGUAUUAAUGGCAGGUGAUGUCUUAGCUAUCCCAAUAACAACUGUUGCAUCUAAAUCAACCUUUUCUAUUGGUGCUCAUGUGCUCAACAAAUAUAGAAGUUGUACCCUUCCUGAAAAAGCGCAAGCUCUCAUUUGCACUUGUAAUUGGUUGCAUGGUUAUAACAUUGGUAAUGAAGAUGAGGCAAACACUAAACCAACUAUAUCCGAGUGCGGGUUCAAACAUUCUUGAACUUAUCAAUGAAGAUAGAAUGAAAGGAGGAGAUGGAGAAGAGGAAAAUUUGAAUGAUUUAAUUUAAUGAUUGAUGAAUUUUAAAUUUUUAAUGAAUUCUACUAUUGUAUGUCUUAUGACUUAAGACUUAGGAGGAAGAGAGGCAUGAAGAAUUAUGAAAUUUUUUUUUUCUUAUGGUUGAAAGACUAUUUCAUUAUUGAUGGGAAGAUGAUUUUUGUUGGAAUUUUAGAAGUUCAUUUUUCUAAUAAAUAGG